GGCUUGGUAGUUUAGUUUGUAAAGCACUUGUCUAGCGUUUAAGGGUCGUGAGUUCAAGUCUCACCCUGUUUU
rnacentral:tRNA from 1 species